CUGGAAUUCCCACUGGGAAUAGUGGAAAUGGGGGGGAAGGGCUGGAAUUCCCGCUGGGAAUGCAGGAAGGGAUUCCCAGGGCUGGAAUUUUGGGAAUGCCCAUGGAGAGCUCCCAGGGGCGGAAUUCCCGGGAUGGAUGGUGAUCCCCAUCCCCAUUCCCAUUUUUCCCAUUCCCAUUUUUCCCAAUCCCAUUUUCCAUUUCCCUCCCAUUUCCCCAUUCCCAUUUUUCCCACCCCCAUUCCCAUUUUUCCCACUCCCAUUUUUUCCAUUUUUCCCAUUAUCCCAUUUUUCCCACCUCCAUUCCCAUUUUUGCCAUCCCCAUUAUCCCAUUUUUCCCAUUUUCUUGGGGGUUUUUCCCUUUUUUUCCCCUUUUUUUUCCCCGUUUUUUUUUCCCAUUUUUUUCCCCACUUUUUUCCCCAUUUUUCCAUUUUUUUCCCCGUUUUCUUUUCCCAAUUUUUUUUCCCAUUUUUUCCCCUUUUUUCCCCCCCAUUUUUUUUCCUUUUUUCCCUUUUUUCUCCCUUUUUUUUCCCCCUUUUUUUUCCCACUUUUUUCCCAAUUUUUCUCAUUUUUUUCCCUGGUUUUUCCCCCUUUUUUCCCUUUUUUUCCCCCCAUUUUUUUCCCUUUUUCUCGUUUUUUCCUGGGUUUUUUUCCCUUUUUUUUCCCCACUUUUUUCCCCAUUUUCCCCAUUUUUUUUUCCGAGUUUUUUUCCCAUUUUUCCCCUUUUUUUUCCCCUUUUUUUCCCCGUUUUUUUCCUUUUUUUCCCCCCCAUUUUUUUUCCCUUUUUCCCUUUUUUCUCCCUUUUUUUUCCCCCGUUUUUUUUCCCACUUUUUUCCCAUUUUUUCCCAUUUUUUCCCCUGGUUUUUCCCCCUUUUUUCCCUUUUUUUCCCUUUUUUUCCCCCCGUUUUUUUCCCUUUUUCCCGUUUUUUCCUGGGUUUUUUUCCUGGGUUUUUUUCCCACUUUUUUCCCCAUUUUCCCCAUUUCUUUUCCCAGUUUUUUUUCCUUUUUUUUCCCUUUUUUUUCCCUUUUUUUCUCCGUUUUUUUCCCUUUUUCCCUUUUUUUUCCCUUUCCCCCCCCCCAUUUUUUUUCCCUUUUUCCCUUUUUUCUCCUUUUUUUUCCCCCGUUUUUUUUCCCACUUUUUUCCCAAUUUUUCCCUUUUUUUCCCCUGGUUUUUCCCCCUUUUUUCCCUUUUUUUUCCCUUUUUUUUCCCUUUUUUUUCCCUUUUUUUUUCCCUUUUUUUCCCUUUUUUUUCCCUUUUUUCCCCCCCAUUUUUUUUUCCUUUUUCCCUUUUUUCUCCCUUUUUU
rnacentral:lncRNA from 1 species